CUGCUCAAUGAUUUAAUUAAAUAGCCGCAGUAUUUUGACUGUGCAAAGGUAGCAUAAUCAAUAGUUUUUUAAUUGAAGACUGGAAUGAAGGAGGGGAUGAAAUUUAUACUGUCUCUAUAAUAAUAAUUGAAUUUUAAUUUAAGUUAAAAUUCUUAAAUUUAUUUAAGGGACGAGAAGACCCUAUAGAAUUUUAUAAUUUUAAAUAAAAUUUUAAAUAAAUUUAAAUUAAAUUUUUAUUUAAAAUUAUUUAAUUGGGAGGAUUAUUAAAAUUAAAAAACUUUAAUUUUAAAUUUAUUUUAAUUAGAAAAUUUAAUGAGUUAUAAUUUAAAUAAUGAAAGAAAAAUUACCUUAGGGAUAACAGCGUUAUAUUUUUGGAGAGAUCUUAUUAAUAAAAGUGUUUGCGACCUCGAUGUUGAAUUAAAAUAAAAUUUGAAUGUAGAAGUUCAAUAUUUAA
rnacentral:rRNA from 1 species